GACGAACGCUGGCGGCGUGCUUAACACAUGCAAGUCGAACGAAGUGGCGAACGGGUGAGUAAUGCGUAAUCAACCUGCCCUUCAGAGGGGGACAACAGUUGGAAACGACUGCUAAUACCGCAUACUGAAGGAGGGGCUUGCGUCUGAUUAGCUCGUUGGAGGGGUAACGGCCCACCAAGGCGAUGAUCAGUAGCCGGUCUGAGAGGGUGAACGGCCACAUUGGGACGGAGACACGGCCCAGACUCCGACGGGAGGCAGCAGGGGGGAAUCUUCGGCAAUGGACGAAAGUCUGACGGAGCAACGCCGCGUGAGUGAUGACGGCCUUCGGUUUGUAAAGCUCUGUUAUUCGGGACGCGGUACCGGAAUAGAAAGCAACGGCUAACUACGUGCCAGCCGCCGCGGUAAUU
rnacentral:rRNA from 1 species